ACACCCGCUCACCAUUGAGAAAUUUCGCCACAGACAAACAGUGAAGGAUUCCCGGCGCCAACAAGCUGAAAAAAAAAGGCUGCUGCAGACGGAAAUGCCGCACUGCAGGCAGGCAGACGGUCGCGGGGAAUAAACGCAGCGCUGAGUUAGAUUUUUAAGAAAAUGGCGUUAGCCUCUGAACGCCUAUGUGCUCCCCUCGGAGCCUGUAGCAAAGAAAAAAAACCCCGCGACCAUGCAUCUGGUGUUUAUGUAAUUAAAGGCAAGCAGGCGCCAGCUUUUACUAAAGCGGUAAGAUAAAAACAAAAAGAAGAAGACUCACUCGGACUCUGAUAGCUGGGGCUAAAACGAGCGAUCUCCUGCCCUGCCAUUGGCUGGAACUCAGAGUCAGUCAGAAGAGUGUCCAGCUUCAUGCCGACCACAGAGCUAGCCUUCCUGAUCAGUUUCUCC